rnacentral:rRNA from 1 species
AGUGAACGCUGGCGGUAGGCCUAACACAUGCAAGUCGAACGGCAGCACAGUAAGAGCUUGCUCUUACGGGUGGCGAGUGGCGGACGGGUGAGGAAUACAUCGGAAUCUACUUUUUCGUAGGGGAUAACGUAGGGAAACUUACGCUAAUACCGCAUACGACCUACGGGUGAAAGCAGGGGAUCUUCGGAUCUUGCGCGAUUGAAUGAGCCGAUGUCGGAUUAGCUAGUUGGCGGGGUAAAGGCCCACCAAGGCGACGAUCCGUAGCUGGUCUGAGAGGAUGAUCAGCCACACUGGAACUGAGACACGGUCCAGACUCCUACGGGAGGCAGCAGUGGGGAAUAUUGGACAAUGGGCGCAAGCCUGAUCCAGCCAUACCGCGUGGGUGAAGAAGGCCUUCGGGUUGUAAAGCCCUUUUGUUGGGAAAGAAAAGCAGCAGGUUAAUACCCCGCUGUUCUGACGGUACCCAAAGAAUAAGCACCGGCUAACUUCGUG